rnacentral:sRNA from 1 species
GCUGGGUGUGGUGGUGCAUGCCUGUAAUCCCAGUAGCUUGGGAGGCCGAGGCAGGAGUCUGUGAGUUCAAGGUCAGGCUCAGCAACUUAGCAAGGCCUUAAGCAACUCAGCAAGAUCCUGUCUCUA